rnacentral:rRNA from 1 species
AUUGAACGCCGGCGGCAGGCUUAACACAUGCAAGUCGAGCGAGCGGCGGACGGGUGAGUAAUGUCUUGGAAACUGCCUGUUGGAGGGGGAUAACUACUGGACACGGUAGCUAAUACCGCAUACCAUCAUUCGUGCCUAGAUGGGAUUAGUUAGUGGGUGGGGUAAUGGCUCACCCAGGCGACGAUCCGUAGCUGGUCUGAGAGGAUGACCAGCCACACUGGGACUGAAGCGCGGGCCAGGCUCCUACGGGAGGCAGCAGUGGGGAAUAGUGCGCAAUGGGGGCAAGCCUGGUGCAGCCAUGCCGCGUAUAUGGAGAAGGCCUGCGGGUUGUAGAGCACUUUCGACGGGGAGGCGUUACUCGCGGAAGAAGCACCGGCUAACUCCGUGCCAGCAGCCGCGGUAAUUC